GACGAACGCUGGCGGCGUGCUUAACACAUGCAAGUCGAACGGAAAGGCCCUGCUUGCAGGGUACUCGAGUGGCGAACGGGUGAGUAACACGUGGGUGAUCUGCCCUGCACUUUGGGAUAAGCCUGGGCAACUGGGUCUAAUACCGGAUAGGAGCCAUUUUUAGUGGGAUGGUUGGAAAGUUUUUUCGGUGUAGGAUGAGCUCGCGGCCUAUCAGCUUGUUGGUGGGGUAAUGGCCUACCGAGGCGGCGACGGGUAGCCGGACUGAGGGGGUGGACGGCCACAUUGGGACUGAGAGGAGGCCCAGACGCCUACGGGAGGCAGCAGGGGGGAAGAUUGCACAAGGGGCGCAAGCCUGGUGCAGCGGCGCCGCGUGGGGGAUGACGGCCUUCUGGUUGUAAACUCCUUUCGCUAGGGACGAAGCUUUUUGUGACGGUACCUAGAGAAGAAGCACCGGCUAACUACGUG
rnacentral:rRNA from 1 species